rnacentral:rRNA from 1 species
UGACUAUACAAAGGUAUUGUAAUAAGAUUUUAAUUGAAUGCUAAAAGAAUGGAAAUUUAAAAAAAAACUUUUUUAAAAAUAAAAAUUGAAUUUUUUUUAAUUUGUGCAAAAACAAUUAUACUUAUUAAAGACAAGAAGACCCUAAGAAUUUAAGAUUUUACAAUUAAAAAGUUUUUUUUUUAAAAUCUUGAUUGGGGCGAUCAAAAAAUAUUAAUAACUUUUUAAAAUUUAAAUUGAUCUAUUAUUAAUAAACUAAUGAAUUAAAUACUCUAGGGAUAACAGCGUAAUAAUUUUUGAUAGAUCUUAUUGACAAAAUAGUUUGCGACCUCGAUGUUGGAUUAGGAUUCUUUUUUAAUGAAGAAGUUAAAAAAAGAAGUUUGUUCAACUUUUAAAUUCCUACUUGAUCUGA